UGAUAUGCCAUUGGACCAGGGCGCCAUUGUUGCUGGUUUUGUUGCCAGUUCUUCUGUUGCCAGUACUGCUGAAGUGGUUGUGAUUGCCAUGCCGAAGGUUGUUGCACCCAACCAGAUUGGUUGUUGUUACAGUUAUUGCGGCCACAUCCACAAUAGUUAUUGUUUCGUCCUCUGCGACGGCCUCUGUUUUGAUUGAUGCGAUAGUUACCCUGAUAGUUCCCUUGAUAAUAUUGUUGUUGUUGCUGACCUCCGCGAUUGUUGAUAUGUUGAGAGGAUGGAGCAUCGGCUUGCGUUGUAGUAAGCAUGAAGGACUUGAGGUGUGGAGUUCUUUGUGUGCUUGCUGAUGCGAUCUUCCUCCAUAAGCAGCAUGGAGCGAGCCACUGAGAAGCUUGAGAAUGGAGAUCUGUGUUUUAUAACAUUGUGAAUGUUAUCAAACUUCUCUGAGAGACCAUUCAACAUGUGCAUAACAACAGCAUGAU
rnacentral:lncRNA from 1 species